rnacentral:rRNA from 1 species
GAUGAACGCGGCGGCGUGCCUAACACAUGCAAGUCGAGCGAGGGUUUGCUCAGUAUUGAGUAUUCUAAAACUAGAAUGUUCAAUUCUGAGCAAAACCAAGCGGCGGACGGGUGAGUAACGCGUGGGUAACCUGCCCUAUACACAUGGAUAACAUACUGAAAAGUUUACUAAUACAUGAUAAUAUAUAUUUGUGGCAUCGCAGAUAUAUCAAAGUGUUAGCGGUAUAGGAUGGACCCGCGUCUGAUUAGCUAGUUGGUGAGAUAACUGCCCACCAAGGCGACGAUCAGUAGCCGACCUGAGAGGGUGAUCGGCCACAUUGGAACUGAGACACGGUCCAAACUCCUACGGGAGGCAGCAGUGGGGAAUAUUGCACAAUGGGCGAAAGCCUGAUGCAGCAACGCCGCGUGAACGAUGAAGGUCUUCGGAUCGUAAAGUUCUGUUGCAGGGGAAGAUAAUGACGGUACCCUGUGAGGAAGCCCCGGCUAACUACGUGCCAGCAGCCGCGGUAAUACGUAGGGGGCUAGCGUUAUCCGGAUUUACUGGGCGUAAAGGGUGCGUAGGUGGUCCUUCAAGUCGGUGGUUAAAGGCUACGGCUCAACCGUAGUAAGCCGCCGAAACUGGAGAACUUGAGUGCAGGAGAGGAAAGUGGAAUUCCCAGUGUAGCGGUGAAAUGCGUAGAUAUUGGGAGGAACACCAGUAGCGAAGGCGGCUUUCUGGACUGCAACUGACACUGAGGCACGAAAGCGUGGGUAGCAAACAGG